rnacentral:lncRNA from 1 species
AAUGCCACUGUGAACCCGGAAUGCAAAGAGAACACGUCUGCUGGUGCACAAACACUGGACAGACAGCUCCAACCUCUGUUUCCUUCCAACACUGUCACUGAACUUGCACUUACAGGAAAGAAUCGUGGAGGUUGUGCAAUGACAGGGCACUUCAGAGGUUUGCCAACCUCUUCUCUGCAAGCAUCAGAGUGAGGGAGGGAGCAACUUUGCCCACUGGGAAUGGAGCCUUGAGCUCCCCCAAGUGCCUCAGUGUUCCAUUAGUGUGCCAUUCCUGGCCCAGGGUGGCCUUGUGAGGGGCUGGGGCUCUUGUCCAUGCCCACAUUGUGAUGUUGCAGUCUCUGUGCUCUGAGAACAUCAGUGCUGUGCUCAAGGUCACCAACAGCAACAGGAGACUAGCAGUAAGGGUCCAGCUUUCCAGGAAGGCAGUUGGCAUCAAAGUUUUGCACAUCUCACACUCAGAUUUUUAAUUUUUCCUUUCCUGCUAUGAUGUGUGAUAAUGGAUAGGAUUCAGGCUCUGAGCCAGUGGUCCACUGAUCGCAAGAACCUCUGCGCAAAUGUGGCCCUAGGUGAGAGGAAGGCUGGACCUUGGCCCAAACCUGGGUCCCUCAGCUGGGGCCGGCUCUCUGGCAGAUCACAGGUGGACACCCAUUGGGCUCUUGCUGCUCGGGGUCCCCUGCGCUGUGGGACAGUAGCGUCGCCCUGGGGGCAAGGAUGAGCAUCCUGUCUGAGCAAAAAGGCCCUCGUCUGGUUGCAGAGCGCUGUGGACUGAAUGGCACCCAAGCAUUUGCCUGAAAAUGGUUAAUUUCAUGUUGUGGGGAUUUCAUCUCAAUAAAAAUAAUGACGACUCGUCA